CUACGUUAAGCAUCCAUAUUUUUGAAGAAAGUGAUGAUGGUUUGAUUCGCAGAGGAAUCGUUUAAUUUUCUUUUUUUCUCGUAUUCCCCGAAAGAAACUAACAAAUCCAAUUAGGAACGAACAGCACACAGGGUGUUGUCGAAGAGGAACACGUAGUCUAGAUUAUGAGAACAAAUUUGAAAUUCUAGACAAUGCUCUUGAGCAAUGUGUCCGUUGUAAGAUUUAUUUCCUAUAUUGGCAUAAUAGUAUUGUUAGAAAAUCAUGAAUUGUUUUCUUCCUUUUAGGUUUUUGACUUCGUUUAAUGUUGUGGCUGAAUGGACAAUGAGAGAUUGAAUCAACAACAUAUCAAGUGGGCAGCUCAUGGUCAAACUCGUUUGGCAUAAAGGGUUUGUUAGAUAAGGGUGGAGGCAGCUUUAACAAUUUAGAUCUAGCACCUAUUAGACUGGUGGUGUUGGCCCCGUGAAUCUUAUCGUCUUCAAGCUGGGUGAAAAAACAAUGAUUCAGUUGGUUUCGUGCAACAUCCUCACAAAAAUGGGACAAGACUUAACAAAAAGAGCAUAUAGAUGCAGUGUCAAACUGUACCAGUGAGUACCAGAGUAAUGUGACAAACAUUCAUGAUGGUGAUUAAUCUUCACACAGCUAACAUUUAGUUGUUUGGAAGCCACUUGGAGUAAACCUUUCGUCAGUUACUCACAAAAAAAGAUUGGCAAAUCUAGUCCUGAGAGAUCACUUUUUUUGUCAAGGAAAUACUGGAAAUUGGUAUUGAAAAGGUAUUCAACCAUGGCAUGUUGACCAGCUAUCUGCGGAGUGAAAAUCUACUUGACAGUGUUCAACCAGUUAAGUACAUUUUACAAAAGAUUCUGAGAAUUGCAAAAGUUAUGUGAACAAAUUUUGUAUUGGAGAAAUUCUAGGUAAAAUGAAAGCCAUUUCACAAUACAGCUGAAUAGCUAUGAAAUGCAACCAAUCCAGGAACUGAGUGUGUUGAACAACCAAACUUAUCUUGGAGAGCUGCAGAAAGAGAAUGGAACAUUACCCUGCCAAACACCUGCUUC